UGUGAUCUCAAAUCAGACAAG
rnacentral:rRNA from 1 species